rnacentral:rRNA from 2 species
UUUUAUGGAGAGUUUGAUCCUGGCUCAGGAUGAACGCUGGCGGCGUGCCUAAUACAUGCAAGUCGAGCGAACGGACGAGAAGCUUGCUUCUCUGAUGUUAGCGGCGGACGGGUGAGUAACACGUGGAUAACCUACCUAUAAGACUGGGAUAACUUCGGGAAACCGGAGCUAAUACCGGAUAAUAUUUUGAACCGCAUGGUUCAAAAGUGAAAGACGGUCUUGCUGUCACUUAUAGAUGGAUCCGCGCUGCAUUAGCUAGUUGGUAAGGUAACGGCUUACC